UGGAGGUUCUUAGGACAUAGUCAUCGACAGCCAUUUUCAAGAACUGUCCUAUGAAUUUCCAGCUCAAUCAUCAAAAAACAACUUCUUCUCUACAAUCUUAAAGUUCUUGCUAAAAGAAACUUACAACUCCAGUGAAUUAAGCUCUUCCAAAAGUUUUGCUUGAAGAAAAACUCUUCAUUUCUGGACUAGGUUCCGAUUCGAAUCGAAAUGGGACUCUCACAAUAUCCAACUCCAGCAGAUGCAGGAGUGUUCUGUGUGAUUCUGGUUAACACAGCCAUAUCUAUCUCUGUUGUCAAGGAGAUAGUUUGGUCUAUUCUUCAUGUGAUUGGCAUCCACUUUGCAUCUUCGGAAGAAUAUUCUAUUGAAGUCCCCUUGGACCCGUUUGAAUGUCGUGGGAGCCCCUCGGGUUCAUAUAUGGAGGACUUCCGAAGCCGAACCCCUGCAGUUCGUUAUGAUUCAAUGUGUACAUCUAAUCACCCUGCACAAGAAUGCCCGGUAUGCCUGGCAGAUUUCAACCAUGAUGUAGAAAUAAACCGCCUCUCAUGUGGCCAUGUUUUUCAUAAGCUCUGUCUCGAGAAAUGGAUCAAGAAUUGGAAUGUCACCUGUCCUCUCUGCAGGAAUUACAUUAUGCCUCAAGAAGGUGAGGAAGAUACUUGUCCAAUGUGAAUCUAGUAAUUUGUGAGGCUACUACUCCAUCUGUUCGAGGUGUUCCUAUGUACAGCUU